rnacentral:rRNA from 1 species
AUUGAACGCUGGCGGAAUGCUUUACACAUGCAAGUCGAACGGCAGCACGGACUUCGGUCUGGUGGCGAGUGGCGAACGGGUGAGUAAUGUAUCGGAACGUGCCCAGUCGUGGGGGAUAACGUAGUGAAAAUUACGCUAAUACCGCAUACGAUCUAUGGAUGAAAGCGGGGGAUCGCAAGACCUCGCGCGAUUGGAGCGGCCGAUAUCAGAUUAGGUAGUUGGUGGGGUAAAGGCCCAUCAAGCCAACGAUCUGUAGCCGGUCUGAGAGGACGACCAGCCAAACGAGAACUGGGACACGGGCCAGACUCCUACGGGAGGCAGCAGUGGGGAAUUUUGGCGAAUGGGCGAAAGCCUGAUUCAGCCAUUCCGCGUGCAGGAUGAAGGGCCUCGGGUUGUAAACUGCUUUUGUACAGAACGAAAAGGUUUCUACUAAUACUAGGAGCUCAUGACGGUACUGUAAGAAUAAGCACCGGCUAACUACGUGCCAGCAGCCGCAGUAA